rnacentral:rRNA from 1 species
CGGACGGGUGAGUAACGCGUGAGGAACCUGCCUUUCGGAGGGGGACAACAGUUGGAAACGACUGCUAAUACCGCAUGAUACAUUUGGGCCGCAUGGUCUGAAUGUCAAAGAUUUAUCGCCGAAAGAUGGCCUCGCGUCUGAUUAGCUAGUUGGUGGGGUAACGGCCCACCAAGGCGACGAUCAGUAGCCGGACUGAGAGGUUGGCCGGCCACAUUGGGACUGAGAUACGGCCCAGACUCCUACGGAAGGCAGCAG